rnacentral:misc_RNA from 1 species
CAAUGACAUCGAAGCUGCUGCU